rnacentral:rRNA from 1 species
GACGAACGCUGGCGGCGUGCCUAAUACACGCAAGUUGAGCGCUGAAGGUUGGUACUUGUACCAACUGGAUGAGCAGCGAACGGGUGAGUAACGCGUGGGGAAUCUGCCUUUGAGCGGGGGACAACAUUUGGAAACGAAUGCUAAUACCGCAUAAAAACUUUAAACACAAGUUUUAAGUUUGAAAGAUGCAAUUGCAUCACUCAAAGAUGAUCCCGCGUUGUAUUAGCUAGUUGGUGAGGUAAAGGCUCACCAAGGCGAUGAUACAUAGCCGACCUGAGAGGGUGAUCGGCCACAGUGGGACUGAGACACGGCCCAAACUCCUACGGGAGGCAGCAGUAGGGAAUCUUCGGCAAUGGACGAAAGUCUGACCGAGCAACGCCGCGUGAGUGAAGAAGGUUUUCGGAUCGUAAAACUCGGUUGGUAGAGAAGAACGUUGGUGAGAGUGGAAAGCUCAUCAAGUGACGGUAACUACCCAGAAAGGGACGGCUAACUACGUG